rnacentral:rRNA from 1 species
GCCUAACACAUGCAAGUCGAACGGUAGCACAGAGAGCUUGCUCUCGGGUGACGAGUGGCGGACGGGUGAGUAAUGUCUGGGAAACUGCCUGAUGGAGGGGGAUAACUACUGGAAACGGUAGCUAAUACCGCAUAACGUCGCAAGACCAAAGAGGGGGACCUUCGGGCCUCUUGCCAUCAGAUGUGCCCAGAUGGGAUUAGCUAGUAGGUGGGGUAACGGCUCACCUAGGCGACGAUCCCUAGCUGGUCUGAGAGGAUGACCAGCCACACUGGAACUGAGACACGGUCCAGACUCCUACGGGAGGCAGCAGUGGGGAAUAUUGCACAAUGGGCGCAAGCCUGAUGCAGCCAUGCCGCGUGUAUGAAGAAGGCCUUCGGGUUGUAAAGUACUUUCAGCGGGGAGGAAGGUGUUGUGGUUAAUAACCAGCAGCAAUUGACGUUACCCGCAGAAGAAGCACCGGCUAACUCCGUGCCAGCAGCCGCGGUAAUACGGAGGGUGCAAGCGUUAAUCGGAAUUACUGGGCGUAAAGCGCACGCAGGCGGUCUGUCAAGUCGGAUGUGAAAUCCCGGGCUCACCUGGGACUGCAUUCGAACUGCAGG